UAAAGAUUUGGUCCCAGUCUUGAAAUCAAUUUGUACUUAACUUACACAUGCAAGUAUCCGCACCCCUGUGAAAACGCCCUUAACUUCCUCCUGGUAUAAGGAGCUGGUAUCAGGCACAUUAUAUGCCCAAGACACCUAGCUUUGCCACACCCACAAGGGACUUCAGCAGUGAUUAAUAUUAAAUAUAAGCGUCAGCUCGAUUUAGUUAAAGUAUAAAGAGCCGGCAAAUCUGGUGCCAGCCGCCGCGGUUACACCAAGUGGCUCAAAUUGAUUUUAUCCGGCGUAAAGCGUGAUUAAAGUUAAACUAUCAUAGAAUUUAACUAGAACUAAGCCGUAGUACGCUAGUUACUAAGAAAAUCAAAAACGAAAGUUAUUCUAUUUUAAACAACUUGAAUUCACGACAACUAGGGUACAAACUGGGAUUAGAUACCCCACUAUGCCUAGUCGUAAACUUUAAAUUACACCUAUAUCGCCAGGGAACUACGAGCCAAGCUUAAAACCCAAAGGACUUGACGGUGCCCCAUAUCCAUCUAGAGGAGCCU
rnacentral:rRNA from 1 species